AACGAACGCUGGCGGCGCGCCUAAUACAUGCAAGUCGAGCGAGAAGGUGUAGCAAUACACUUGUAAAGCGGCGAACGGGUGAGGAAUGCAUGGGUAACCUACCCUCGAGUGGGGAAUAACUAGCCGAAAGGUUAGCUAAUACCGCAUACGUUUCCGGAACUUCGGUUUCGGAAAGAAAGCAAUACCGUGGGUAUUGCGCUCCUGGAUGGGCUCAUGUCCUAUCAGCUUGUUGGUGAGGUAACGGCUCACCAAGGCUUCGACGGGUAGCUGGUCUGAGAGGACGAUCAGCCACACUGGCACUGCGACACGGGCCAGACUCCUACGGGAGGCAGCAGUAAGGAAUAUUGCGCAAUGGACGAAAGUCUGACGCAGCGACGCCGCGUGGGGGAUGAAGGUCUUCGGAUUGUAAACCCCUUUCGGGAGGGAAGAUGGAGUGGGUAACCACUUGGACGGUACCUCCAGAAGCAGCCACGGCUAACUUCGUGCCAGCAGCCGCGGUAA
rnacentral:rRNA from 1 species